UACAUGGGGUGCAAACGUUGCUCGGAAUUAUUGGGCGUAAAGCGCGUGUAGGCGGUCCGGUAAGUCCGCUGUGAAAGUCAAGGGCUCAACCCUUGAAUGCCGGCCGAUACUGUCAGGCUAGAGUGCGGUAGGGGAGACUGGAAUUCCUGGUGUAGCGGUGAAAUGCGCAGAUAUCAGGAGGAACACCGGUGGCGAAGGCGGGUCUCUGGGCCGUAACUGACGCUGAGGAGCGAAAGCAUGGGGAGCGAACAGG
rnacentral:rRNA from 1 species